AACUAUUUGAUUUGUGCACAAAACUCAAAGCUGAUAUAUGGGUGGCGAUAGUUGAUGGACUAUAAUUUCGUAAGAAUAAAUUAGCAAUAAAAUGAGAUAGGAGUAUGUGGGAAGAUGGAAAUGGUCUGCAUUCAGCAUAAUACGUCUCACAAAAUUGUAAGUAACUAUUUAUCAUUCUAGAGUAAGAUUUGUGUGUAGCAUCUGAUAAAGAUGCU
rnacentral:lncRNA from 1 species